GACGAACGCUGGCGGCGUGCUUAACACAUGCAAGUCGAACGGAAAGGCCCUGCUUGCCGGGUACUCGAGUGGCGAACGGGUGAGUAACACGUGGGUGAUCUGCCCUGCACUUCGGGAUAAGCUUGGGAAACUGGGUCUAAUACCGGAUAGGAGCCAUCUUUAGUGUGGUGGUUGGAAAGUUUUUUCGGUGUAGGAUGAGCUCGCGGCCUAUCAGCUUGUUGGUGGGGUAAUGGCCUACCAAGGCGGCGACGGGUAGCCGGCCUGAGAGGGUGUACGGCCACAUUGGGACUGAGAUACGGCCCAGACGCCUACGGGAGGCAGCAGUGGGGAAUAUUGCACAAUGGGCGCAAGCCUGAUGCAGCGACGCCGCGUGGGGGAUGAAGGCCUUCGGGUUGUAAACGCCUUUCGCUAGGGACGAAGCUUUUUGUGACGGUACCUAGAGAAGAAGCACCGGCUAACUACGUG
rnacentral:rRNA from 1 species